rnacentral:rRNA from 1 species
GACGAACGCUGGCGGCGUGCAUCACACAUGCAAGUGGAGCGACGAAUCGGGCUUCGGCCCGAGGCAAAGCCGCGAACGGGUGAGUAACACGUGGGUAACCUGCCCUGAUGAUUGGGACAACCCGAGGAAACUCGGGCUAAUACCGAAUGUGCCCUCCGGCCUCAAGGCCGCUGGGGAAAGGAAGCUUCGGCCUCCGCAUCAGGAUGGGCCCGCGGCCCAUUAGCUUGUUGGUGAGGUAACGGCUUACCAAGGCUACGAUGGGUAGCUGGUCUGAGAGGACGAUCAGCCACACUGGGACUGAGACACGGCCCAGACUCCUACGGGAGGCAGCAGUGAGGAAUCUUGCGCAAUGCGCGAAAGCGUGACGCAGCAACGCCGCGUGGGGGAAGACGGCCUUCGGGUUGUAAACCCCUUUCAGUUGGGACGAAGCUUCGCCGGUGAAUAGCCGGCCGGAGUGACGGUACCUUCAGAAGAAGCCCCGGCUAACUACGUGCCAGCAGCCGCCGUAAAAC